rnacentral:rRNA from 1 species
GGCCUGUUGAUAAUAAUUUUAGGUCUCGCCUGCCCACUGAGUCGUUAAAGGGCCGCGGUAUCUUGACCGUGCAAAGGUAGCAUAAUAAAUAGUUUCUUAAUUGGAAGCUGGUAUGAACGGUAGUAUGAGAAAAUCACUGUCUCUGGUAAAAUGAAUAUUGAAUUUUAUUUUUAAGUUAAAAAGCUUAAAUAACAUUAAAAGACGAGAAGACCCUGUAGAAUUUUAUAUACUAUUUUAUUUAUUAUUCUUUAGUAUUAUAAUUUAGUCAAUAAAAUGUUAUAUUUGGUUGGGGUGAUCGAAAAAUUUAAUUAACUUUUUUUUUAUGGCACCAUUGAUUUAUGAUUGAUUGAUCCACUAAUUGUGAUUAUAAGAUAAAAUUACCUCAGGGAUAACAGCGUAAUCUUUUUGGAGAGUUCUAAUCGAUAAAAGGGUUUGCGACCUCGAUGUUGGAUUAAAAUUAAGUCUUGGCGCAGAAGCUAAGAAUUUCGGUCUGUUCGACCGUUAAAAUUU